rnacentral:rRNA from 1 species
GGGUUGUGAGGUUAAGCGACUAAGCGUACACGGUGGAUGCCCUGGCAGUCAGAGGCGAUGAAGGACGUGCUAAUCUGCGAUAAGCGUCGGUAAGGUGAUAUGAACCGUUAUAACCGGCGAUUUCCGAAUGGGGAAACCCAGUGUGAUUCGUCACACUAUCAUUAACUGAAUCCAUAGGUUAAUGAGGCGAACCGGGGGAACUGAAACAUCUAAGUACCCCGAGGAAAAGAAAUCAACCGAGAUUCCCCCAGUAGCGGCGAGCGAACGGGGAGGAGCCCAGAGCCUGAAUCAGUGUGUGUGUUAGUGGAAGCGUCUGGAAAGGCGCGCGAUACAGGGUGACAGCCCCGUACACAAAAAUGCACAUGCUGUGAGCUCGAUGAGUAGGGCGGGACACGUGGUAUCCUGUCUGAAUAUGGGGGGACCAUCCUCCAAGGCUAAAUACUCCUGACUGACCGAUAGUGAACCAGUACCGUGAGGGAAAGGCGAAAAGAACCCCGGCGAGGGGAGUGAAAAAGAACCUGAAACCGUGUACGUACAAGCAGUGGGAGCCUCUUUAUGGGGUGACUGCGUACCUUUUGUAUAAUGGGUCAGCGACUUAUAUUCUGUAGCAAGGUUAACCGAAUAGGGGAGCCGAAGGGAAACCGAGUCUUAACUGGGCGUUAAGUUGCAGGGUAUAGACCCGAAACCCGGUGAUCUAGCCAUGGGCAGGUUGAAGGUUGGGUAACACUAACUGGAGGACCGAACCGACUAAUGUUGAAAAAUUAGCGGAUGACUUGUGGCUGGGGGUGAAAGGCCAAUCAAACCGGGAGAUAGCUGGUUCUCCCCGAAAGCUAUUUAGGUAGCGCCUCGUGAAUUCAUCUCCGGGGGUAGAGCACUGUUUCGGCAAGGGGGUCAUCCCGACUUACCAACCCGAUGCAAACUGCGAAUACCGGAGAAUGUUAUCACGGGAGACACACGGCGGGUGCUAACGUCCGUCGUGAAGAGGGAAACAACCCAGACCGCCAGCUAAGGUCCCAAAGUCAUGGUUAAGUGGGAAACGAUGUGGGAAGGCCCAGACAGCCAGGAUGUUGGCUUAGAAGCAGCCAUCAUUUAAAGAAAGCGUAAUAGCUCACUGGUCGAGUCGGCCUGCGCGGAAGAUGUAACGGGGCUAAACCAUGCACCGAAGCUGCGGCAGCGACGCUUAUGCGUUGUUGGGUAGGGGAGCGUUCUGUAAGCCUGUGAAGGUGUGCUGUGAGGCAUGCUGGAGGUAUCAGAAGUGCGAAUGCUGACAUAAGUAACGAUAAAGCGGGUGAAAAGCCCGCUCGCCGGAAGACCAAGGGUUCCUGUCCAACGUUAAUCGGGGCAGGGUGAGUCGACCCCUAAGGCGAGGCCGAAAGGCGUAGUCGAUGGGAAACAGGUUAAUAUUCCUGUACUUGGUGUUACUGCGAAGGGGGGACGGAGAAGGCUAUGUUGGCCGGGCGACGGUUGUCCCGGUUUAAGCGUGUAGGCUGGUUUUCCAGGCAAAUCCGGAAAAUCAAGGCUGAGGCGUGAUGACGAGGCACUACGGUGCUGAAGCAACAAAUGCCCUGCUUCCAGGAAAAGCCUCUAAGCAUCAGGUAACAUCAAAUCGUACCCCAAACCGACACAGGUGGUCAGGUAGAGAAUACCAAGGCGCUUGAGAGAACUCGGGUGAAGGAACUAGGCAAAAUGGUGCCGUAACUUCGGGAGAAGGCACGCUGAUAUGUAGGUGAAGCGACUUGCUCGUGGAGCUGAAAUCAGUCGAAGAUACCAGCUGGCUGCAACUGUUUAUUAAAAACACAGCACUGUGCAAACACGAAAGUGGACGUAUACGGUGUGACGCCUGCCCGGUGCCGGAAGGUUAAUUGAUGGGGUUAGCGGUAACGCGAAGCUCUUGAUCGAAGCCCCGGUAAACGGCGGCCGUAACUAUAACGGUCCUAAGGUAGCGAAAUUCCUUGUCGGGUAAGUUCCGACCUGCACGAAUGGCGUAAUGAUGGCCAGGCUGUCUCCACCCGAGACUCAGUGAAAUUGAACUCGCUGUGAAGAUGCAGUGUACCCGCGGCAAGACGGAAAGACCCCGUGAACCUUUACUAUAGCUUGACACUGAACAUUGAGCCUUGAUGUGUAGGAUAGGUGGGAGGCUUUGAAGUGUGGACGCCAGUCUGCAUGGAGCCGACCUUGAAAUACCACCCUU